rnacentral:rRNA from 1 species
CUGGUUGAUCCUGCCAGUAGUCAUAUGCUUGUCUCAAAGAUUAAGCCAUGCAUGUCUAAGUAUAAGCGACUUGUACUGUGAAACUGCGAAUGGCUCAUUAAAUCAGUUAUGGUUUAUUUGAUGGUACCUUACUACUUGGAUAACCGUAGUAAUUCUAGAGCUAAUACAUGCAGGAGGUCCCGACUUCGGAAGGGAUGUAUUUAUUAGAUAAGAAACCAACUCGGCUUGCCGGUUGCGUGCUGAGUCACAAUAACUGCUCGAAUCGCAUGGCCUUGUGCCGGCGAUGGUUCAUUCAAAUUUCUGCCCUAUCAGCUUUCGAUGGUAGGAUCGAGGCCUACCAUGGCGUUUACGGGUAACGGAGAAUUAGGGUUCGAUUCCGGAGAGGGAGCCUGAGAAAUGGCUACCACAUCCAAGGAAGGCAGCAGGCGCGUAAAUUGCCCGAAUCCUGACACAGGGAGGUAGUGACAAGAAAUAACAAUACAGGGCUAUCUUAGUCUUGUAAUUGGAAUGAGUACAAUUUACAUCUCUUCACGAGGAUCAAUUGGAGGGCAAGUCUGG